UACGGGGGGGGCAAGCGUUGUUCGGAAUUACUGGGCGUAAAGGGCCAGUAGGCGGCCAACUAAGUCCGACGUGAAAUCCCAAGGCUUAACCUUGGAACUGCGUCGGAUACUGGAUGGCUUGAAUUCGGGAGAGGGAUGCAGAAUUCCAGGUGUAGCGGUGAAAUGCGUAGAUAUCGGGAGGAACACCUGUGGCGAAAGCGGCUCACUGGACCACAACUGACGCUGAGGCGCGAAAGCGUGGGGAGCAAACAGG
rnacentral:rRNA from 1 species